rnacentral:lncRNA from 11 species
GGGGGUGGAAAGAGGGAGAUUGCAGCAGAGAAGCCCUUCUUCGGUAGAACCUUGAGUUUCCCUUUCUUUCCCUGCAGUUUCUGGGUAGAGAGAAGCUCCCCUGGGAGGCCAGCAGCCUUGAAGUGGAGCAUGGGAACCUGACCUCCGAGAGUGCAGAGAGUGUCUAUGAGCCCCCUCAAAAGACAUCAACGGUAAGGGAGGGAAGGAGGUGGUAAAAGGGGGGUGGGCUGCUUCCUC